rnacentral:lncRNA from 1 species
AGAGAAGGGAGGGUUCGUGCCACCAGAUCACCCAGUAAGCUGCAGCAAGUUAGCAGUGGAACCUGGGCCUCCCGAUUCCCAUGGCAGCCCACUUCUGUAGCGCUGCUUCGUUUUACGCGAGGGUGGUUUCCUGAUAGCUUUCAAACACCUUUGCCAUCUCUUCGCAAACUUUCUAGAUUAAGAAUCCCUUUGAGAAUCUGAUACCUUUACCCCAGAAUAGAACAAUAAAUAACAGCUACCUUC